rnacentral:rRNA from 1 species
UACGUAGGGGGGCAAGCGUUGUCCGGAUUUAUUGGGCGUAAAGAGCGUGUAGGCGGCUUUACAGGUCCGUUGUGAAAACUCGAGGCUCAACCUCGAGACGCCGGUGGAAACCGUAAGGCUAGAGUCCGGAAGAGGAGAGUGGAAUUCCUGGUGUAGCGGUGAAAUGCGCAGAGUAUCAGGAGGAACACCCGUGGCGAAAGCGGCUCUCUGGGACGGUACUGACGCUGAGACGCGAAAGCGUGGGGAGCGAACAGG